CUUGCUCCUCUGACGUUAGCGGCGGACGGGUGAGUAACACGUGGAUAACCUACCUAUAAGACUGGGAUAACUUCGGGAAACCGGAGCUAAUACCGGAUAAUAUAUUGAACCGCAUGGUUCAAUAGUGAAAGACGGUUUUGCUGUCACUUAUAGAUGGAUCCGCGCCGCAUUAGCUAGUUGGUAAGGUAACGGCUUACCAAGGCAACGAUGCGUAGCCGACCUGAGAGGGUGAUCGGCCACACUGGAACUGAGACACGGUCCAGACUCCUACGGGAGGCAGCAGUAGGGAAUCUUCCGCAAUGGGCGAAAGCUUGACGGAGCAACGCCGCGUGAGUGAUGAAGGUCUUCGGAUCGUAAAACUCUGUUAUUAGGGAAGAACAAAUGUGUAAGUAACUAUGCACGUCUUGACGGUACCUAAUCAGAAAGCCACGGCUAACUACGUGCCAGCAGCCGCGGUAAUACGUAGGUGGCAAGCGUUAUCCGGAAUUAUUGGGCGUAAAGCGCGCGUAGGCGGUUUUUUAAGUCUGAUGUGAAAGCCCACGGCUCAACCGUGGAGGGUCAUUGGAAACUGGAAAACUUGAGUGCAGAAGAGGAAAGUGGAAUUCCAUGUGUAGCGGUGAAAUGCGCAGAGAUAUGGAGGAACACCAGUGGCGAAGGCGACUUUCUGGUCUGUAACUGACGUUGAUGUGCGAAAGCGUGGGGAUCAAACAGGAUUAGAUACCCUGGUAGUCCACGCCGUAAACGAUGAGUGCUAAGUGUUAGGGGGUUUCCGCCCCUUAGUGCUGCAGCUAACGCAUU
rnacentral:rRNA from 1 species